rnacentral:rRNA from 1 species
GACGAACGCUGGCGGCGUGCUUAACACAUGCAAGUCGAACGGAAAGACCCUGCUUUUGUGGGGUGCUCGAGUGGCGAACGGGUGAGUAACACGUGAGUAACCUGCCCUUGACUUUGGGAUAACUUCAGGAAACUGGGGCUAAUACAGGAUAGGAGCUCCUGCUGCAUGGUGGGGGUUGGAAAGUUUCGGCGGUUGGGGAUGGUCUCGCGGCUUAUCAGCUUGUUGGUGGGGUAGUGGCUUACCAAGGCUUCGACGGGUAGCCGGCCUGAGAGGGUGACCGGCCACAUUGGGACUGAGGUACGGCCCAGACUCGUACGGGAGGCAGAAGUGGGGAAUAUUGCACAAUGGGCGGAAGCCUGAUGCAGCAACGCCGCGUGCGGGAUAACGGCCUUCGGGUUGUAAACCGCUUUCGCCUGUGACGAAGCGUGAGUGACGGUAAUGGGUAAAAAAGCACCGGCUAACUACGUG